AGGACGAACGCUGGCGGCGUGCUUAACACAUGCAAGUCGAGCGGAAAGGCCACUUCGGUGGUACUCGAGCGGCGAACGGGUGAGUAACACGUGAGUAAUCUGCCCUCCACUUUGGGAUAGCCACCGGAAACGGUGAUUAAUACCGGAUAUGACCUCGCAUCGCAUGAUGUGUGGUGGAAAGUUUUUCGGUGGGGGAUGGUGCUCGCGGCCUAUCAGCUUGAUGGUGGGGUAAUGGGCCUACCAUGGCUUCGGACGGGU
rnacentral:rRNA from 1 species